rnacentral:misc_RNA from 1 species
AAAGUCGUAACAAGGUCUCCGUUGGUGAACCAGCGGAGGGAUCAUUACAGAGUGCCCCUGGCUCUGCCAACCCCGCGAACCCUACAGCGUUGCCUCGGCGGUGCGCCCACCAGCGCCCGCCGCAGGCCCCUACAAACCCCACAAGCAGCCGCCGUGUCGCUGACUACAUCAUAACAAAUCGUUAAAAACUUUCAACAACGGAUCUCUUGGCUCCG